GGAAUAUUGGACAAUGGGGGAAACCCUGAUCCAGCGACGCCGCGUGAGUGAAGAAGUAUUUCGGUAUGUAAAGCUCUAUCAGCAGGGAAGAAAGAAAUGACGGUACCUGAGUAAGAAGCCCCGGCUAACUACGGGCCAGCAGCCGCGGUAAUACGUAGGGGGCAAGCGUUAUCCGGAAUUACUGGGUGUAAAGGGAGCGUAGACGGUGAAGUAAGUCUGGAGUGAAAGGCGGGGGCCCAGCCCCCGGACUGCUCUGGAAACUAUUUGACUGGAGUGCAGGAGAGGUAAGCGGAAUUCCUAGUGUAGCGGUGAAAUGCGUAGAUAUUAGGAGGAACACCAGUGGCGAAGGCGGCUUACUGGACUGUAACUGACGUUGAGGCUCGAAAGCGUGGGUAUCGAACA
rnacentral:rRNA from 1 species